UACGUAGGUGGCAAGCGUUGUUCGGAAAUACUGGGCGUAAAGCGCACGUAGGCGGCUUGGUAAGUCAGGGGUGAAAUCCCGGAGCUCAACUCCGGAACUGCCUUUGAAACUGCUUGGCUUGAAUCCUGGAGAGGCGAGUGGAAUUCCGAGUGUAGAGGUGAAAUUCGUAGAUAUUCGGAAGAACACCAGUGGCGAAGGCGACUCGCUGGACAGGUAUUGACGCUGAGGUGCGAAAGCGUGGGGAGCAAACAGG
rnacentral:misc_RNA from 1 species